rnacentral:lncRNA from 1 species
UUACAGAGGAGGAAGAAGAAGCAGACGAUGAUUGCUUGGACGAUUGGGAGGCUAUUGCUGAUGCUUUAGCUGCUAAUGAUGAUAGCAAGGAAGGAAGUCAAAACAAUAAUUCGUGUCCGGUGUCAGAGUCCUCCCCCAAAUUUGAACCUAGUGUUCGAUCAGAUUCUAUUUCGCCUGAACUUGAACCUAGUGUUCGAUCAGAUUCUAUUUCGAAUAAUUUGGAUUCUAGUCUCGAGGAUUUGAAGCAAGAGUGCCCCAAAACGGCACCACCUAGAGUGGCUCAUGGGAAUAGCCGGGCAUGGAGGCCCGAUGAUGCAUUUCGCCCACAGAGUCU